ACGAACGCUGGCGGCGUGCUUCACACAUGCAAGUCGAACGGAAAGGCCCUGCUUUUGUGGGGUGCUCGAGUGGCGAACGGGUGAGUAACACGUGAGUAACCUGCCCUUGACUUUGGGAUAACUUCAGGAAACUGGGGCUAAUACCGGAUAGGAGCUCCUGCUGCAUGGUGGGGGUUGGAAAGUUUCGGCGGUUGGGGAUGGACUCGCGGCUUAUCAGCUUGUUGGUGGGGUAGUGGCUUACCAAGGCUUUGACGGGUAGCCGGCCUGAGGGGGUGACCGGCCACAUUGGGACUGAGAUACGGCCCAGACUCCUACGGGAGGCAGCAGUGGGGAAUAUUGCACAAUGGGCGGAAGCCUGAUGCAGCAACGCCGCGUGCGGGAUGACGGCCUUCGGGUUGUAAACCGCUUUCGCCUGUGACGAAGCGUGAGUGACGGUAAUGGGUAAAGAAGCACCGGCUAACUACGUG
rnacentral:rRNA from 1 species